CGGUUGAUCCUGCCGGACCUGACUGCUAUCGGAUUGAUACUAAGCCAUGCGAGUCAUUGUAGUAAUACAAGGCAGACGGCUCAGUAACGCGUAGUCAACCUAACCUAUGGACGGGAAUAACCUCGGGAAACUGAGUAUAAUUCCCGAUAGAACAUUAUGCCUGGAAUGGUUUAUGUUCCAAAUGAUUUAUCGCCGUAGGAUGGGACUGCGGCCUAUCAGUUUGUUGGUGAGGUAAUGGCCCACCAAGACUAUUACAGGUACGGGCUCUGAGAGGAGUAGCCCGGAGAUGGGUACUGAGACACGGACCCAGGCCCUAUGGGGCGCAGCAGGCGAGAAAACUUUGCAAUGUGCGAAAGCACGACAAGGUUAAUCCGAGUGGUUUCUGCUAAAGGAACCUUUUGUUAGUCCUAGAAACACUAGCGAAUAAGGGGUGGGCAAGUUCUGGUGUCAGCCGCCGCGGUAAAACCAGCACCUCAAGUGGUCAGGAUGAUUAUUGGGCCUAAAGCAUCCGUAGCCGGCUCUGUAAGUUUUCGGUUAAAUCUGUACGCUCAACGUACAGGCUGCCGGGAAUACUGCAGAGCUAGGGAGUGGGAGAGGUAGACGGUACUCGGUAGGAAGGGGUAAAAUCCUUUGAUCUAUUGAU
rnacentral:rRNA from 1 species